CACUGGGGGACGGUAAUCCUAUGAUGAACCGUCAGGGGUUUUCAAAGUAAAAAUAGACAACACAAGUCCAUUGAGAAGUACAUGUUUUCCUUUUUGCCCUUUACCAUCUGUUUGCAGGUAUGUGCCCACCCUGUGUGGACAUGACCAGCUUGCUGUCAUGUGAUCCACAACCAGGUUCAAAAGCUUAUGGUCCAUUGAAAAGGACACAGUACAGAAUUCCCUACUGACCAGAGAUAGAAGCUCACAUCACUGGAUCUGGGUAAGGCUACUGGCUUUUAAAAAGUCUAUGUUAUAGAUCAGUUUUUUUAGGGCACUUUACUUUUUGUUUUUGUGUUGUAAUGCAAGUGGAAUCAUUGCUUUAUCUCUGCGAGAUAAUGCACAUACACUUUUUCAUAGGUACAGGCUGUGGUGCAUCUUUACCAUGUCAGACACAGAAGAAACUACACAUGAAUUCUGCAGAGGAAAAUGGAAACGAAGGAGAAGAGGCUAAACCCAAGCUAAAACCUGGUUUUGUGCCGGGCCUGGCACCUCCCAAAAUCCCAGAUGGAGAAAUAGUAGACUUUGAUGACAUUCACAGGAAACGAAUGGAGAAAGAUCUGAUAGAACUUCAGUCGCUGAUUGAAUCACACUUUGAGAAACGCAAGAAGGAGGAAGAGGAGCUCAUCAGUCUCACAGACCGUAUUGAGAAACGCAGGUCAGAAAGAGCUGAGCAGAUGAAGAUCAGGGCAGAGAGGGAAAGGGAACGGCACAACAAACAAGCUGUGAGUGAAGAGAAGGCCAGAAAAGAGGAAGAAGAAGCUAAAAAGAAGGCAAAUGAUGAUGCAAGAAAGAAGAUGAUUCUAUCCAACUUAACUUUUACUGGAUACAAGACACAGGGUGAGACAAAGAAACCAACAGAAAGAGAAAAGAAGAAGAAGAUCCUAAAUGAUCGGCGCAAGGAGCUCAACGUUGAACACAUGAAAGAAGACCAACUCAGAGAAAAAGCAAAGGAGCUUUGGGACUGGAUUCGACAGCUGGAGGCAGAGAAAUAUGAACUUCAAUCUAAACAGACAAAGCAAAAGUACGAGGUAAAAUCCACUGAAAAAUCAGUUUAG
rnacentral:lncRNA from 1 species